UGAGAAUCUACAAGAAUAAGAAAAAAUGGACCAGCAAAAUCUCAACAAAGCUCCCGAAGAAAGUGAAGCCAUUUCGGUAAUGCGGAUAAUGGAGAACCAGGCCCAACUUCAAAUGAAGAUGAUGGAGUUGCUAGCCAACAUGUUUAGUUUAAGGAACGACACCGACCACGUGGUGACCGCAUAAUUAUCGUUAGCCCAGUUUGACCCCGACGAUACAUCCUUUUCAACCAAGGAGUGGAGUGAGGAAGUUGAUCAAAUUAAAUUCGUAAACAGGUACGUCUGAUACUGUUGUGGGCAAGCCCUGAAAGGCCGUGCAGCCAAAAUUUAUCAAAAUUGGAAACCGAUAGUUAGAAAUUGGUCAACAUUUUCUAGGAAUUUAGAGAUAGCGUUCCCUGAGAAAGGAACUCAGGCCACGAGGCUUAAAGCUAGCAUGUUGAUAAGUAGUGCAAAUUUUAGUUCGUUAGUAGAGUAUGCUCAUGCCAAGUUGAAUUUGAUCAGGAAACUUUGUGAAAAGUUUCCGUGGGAAAUAGUGUUGAGCUUGAUAGCACAUGAUAUCACAAAUGUAGAAGUUUAGAAUAGAUUAUUAGUGCAAGAAUCUAAGAAUGAAAUGCAGCAGCUGAAAUUGCCUUCUUCAUAGGAUUUCGACGCUCCAUAUUAGUGGAUAAUAGUAGAAAACUAGAAAAAUGAAGCAGCUACUGAAAACAGAAUCAGACAAAACCUUUCAUGGGAAUUGUAGGAACUGUGGAAAAUUUAGGCAUAGAAAGUUAGAUUAUUGUAAAGAAACGUUGUUUUAAUUCUAAUCCAGAAAAUUCCAGUCUUGAAUGUAAUUUCUGUGAUAGAAAGGGACAUACUGAAGAUUUUUAUUUUGUUAAGAAAAAGAGAGAAACAAGUUCAGUUAAACUUUAGUUACCCAUUGUUCGUAACAAUCAAUUAGCACAUUAGAUUUGAAUCUAGACUUGUCAGGAUUGGACGAGCGAUUAGUGAAGUAUUGAAUAAAUCGAAUGUUGUCAAAUAACAAAAAUAUCAAGCAUGUCGACUAACUUAGUCGAAACAUACCUAGUGGAAAUAAGAUACUGGCGCUUUGUUAUGUUUCAGGAAAAUCAAAAUCAAUUGCAAAAGUUUGAUCUGUUUUGUACGUGAAUUCUUAUGAAGAUUUACACAAGACAAGCGCUCUCAAGAAUGUAAAAUGUUCCCGUUGAGCAAUCCAGGAGUAUAGUAUAACGCUGGCAGGUGACAUCUAUCGAAUGAAGAAAAACUGAAGCCAACAUUUAUUGGACCUUUCGAAGUGCAAGCAGUCCUACCAAACGAUCUAUAUGCCUUGAGAAGAGUAGGAGUCCAGAAUAGAACCAAUGAGAUCUUGGCCUAAA